UGACAGCAGUGAUGAUGAAGACUUUGUCAUUCUGCCUGAAUAAAUGGUGAAGGUUUUUAGUCACUACCUCAUCUGAGACUCUCA